UGGAGGCCUGGGAUCCUCAGAGCCUGGGAAGGGGAGGUGUCGGAGGGCCACCUCUUUCCCUAGGGAGGGCAGCCAUGAGACUGGAGACAAGUUUCUGCGCUUCUCUGGCCCCGGUUUUUGCAGCUGUGAAAUGGGUUUGUGGACCCUGCCUCCCAUUCUGGGGGAGUGAGACGGUGACACAUGCACCUGGUUCCACAUUAAAAAGGCACAAAAGAGGAGUUCCCGUCGUGGCACAGCAGUUAACGC